AAGCAUAUCAAUAAGCGGAGGAAAAGAAACUAACAAGGAUUCCCCUAGUAACUGCGAGUGAAGCGGGAAAAGCUCAAAUUUAAAAUCUGGUGGUCUUUUGGCCAUCCGAGUUGUAAUUUAGAGAAGCGUCUUCCGCGCUGGACCGUGCACAAGUCUCCUGGAAUGGAGCGUCAUAGAGGGUGAGAAUCCCGUCUUUGGCAUGGAUCCCAGGGCUUCUGUGAUGCGCUCUCAAAGAGUCGAGUUGUUUGGGAAUGCAGCUCAAAAUGGGUGGUGAACUCCAUCUAAAGCUAAAUAUUGGCGAGAGACCGAUAGCGAACAAGUACCGUGAGGGAAAGAUGAAAAGCACUUUGGAAAGAGAGUGAAACAGUACGUGAAAUUGUUGAAAGGGAAACGCUUGAAGUCAGUCGCGUCGACCGAGACUCAGCCUCGCCUUGGCUUGGUGUACUUCUCGGCUUGACGGGUCAGCAUCAAUUUUGAUCCUUGGAUAAUGGCAAGGGAAAGGUAGCACCUUUACAGGUGUGUUAUAGUCCUCUGUCGGAUGCAAGGGUCGGGAUUGAGGAACUCAGCACGCACCUUUAGGUGUCGGGGCCUUGGCCUACGUUACGUGCUUAGGAUGCUGGCGUAAUGGCUUUAAACGACCCGUCUUGAAACACGGACCAAGGAGUCUAACAUGCCCGCGAGUGUUCGGGUGGAAAACCCGUGCGCGUAAUGAAAGUAAAAGUUGGGACCUCUGUCGUGGAGGGCACCGACGCCCGGACCAGACCUUCUGUGACGGCUCUGCGGUAGAGCGUGUAUGUUGGGACCCGAAAGAUGGUGAACUAUGCCUGAAUAGGGUGAAGCCAGAGGAAACUCUGGUGGAGGCUCGUAGCGAUUCUGACGUGCAAAUCGAUCGUCAAAUUUGGGUAUAGGGGCGAAAGACUAAUCGAACCAUCUAGUAGCUGGUUCCUGGCGAAGUU
rnacentral:rRNA from 1 species